rnacentral:rRNA from 1 species
AACAAGGAUUCCCCUAGUAACUGCGAGUGAAGCGGGAAAAGCUCAAAUUUAAAAUCUGGCAGUCUUUGGCUGUCCGAAUUGUAUUCUGGAGAAGCGUUUUCCGCGCUGGACCGUGUACAAGUCUCUUGGAAUAGAGCGUCAUAGAGGGUGAGAAUCCCGUCUUUGACACGGACUACCAGUGCUUUGUGAUGCGCUCUCAAAGAGUCGAGUUGUUUGGGAAUGCAGCUCAAAAUGGGUGGUGAAUUCCAUCUAAAGCUAAAUAUUGGCGAGAGACCGAUAGCGAACAAGUACCGUGAGGGAAAGAUGAAAAGCACUUUGGAAAGAGAGUUAAACAGUACGUGAAAUUGCUGAAAGGGAAACGCUUGAAGUCAGUCGCGUCAUUCAGAACUCAGCCUGGCUUUUGCUUGGUGUAUUUUCUGGUUGACGGGCCAGCAUCAAUUUUGACCGCUGGAAAAAGGCCAUAGGAAUGUGGCACCCUCGGGUGUGUUAUAGCCUAUGGUCAUAUACAGCGGUUGGGAUUGAGGACCGCAGCACGCCUUUAUGGUUGGGGUUCGCCCACAUUCGUGCUUAGGAUGCUGGCGUAAUGGCUUUAAACGACCCGUCUUGAAACACGGACCAAGGAGUCUAACAUGCCUGCGAGUGUUUGGGUGGAAAACCCGAGCGCACAAUGAAAGUGAAAGUUGGGAUCCCUGUCGUGGGGAGCACCGACGCCCGGACCAGACCUUUUGUGACGGAUCCGCGGUAGAGCAUGUAUGUUGGGACCCGAAAGAUGGUGAACUAUGCCUGAAUAGGGUGAAGCCAGAGGAAACUCUGGUGGAGGC